rnacentral:rRNA from 1 species
UACGUAGGGGUGCAAGCGUUAAUCGGAAUUACUGGGCGUAAAGCGUGCGCAGGCGGUUUUGUAAGUCUGUCGUGAAAUCCCCGGGCUCAACCUGGGAAUUGCGAUGGAGACUGCAAGGCUAGAAUCUGGCAGAGGGGGGUAGAAUUCCACGUGUAGCAGUGAAAUGCGUAGAGAUGUGGAGGAACACCGAUGGCGAAGGCAGCCCCCUGGGUCAAGAUUGACGCUCAUGCACGAAAGCGUGGGGAGCAAACGAGG